CCUACGGGCGGCUGCAGCUAAGAAUAUUCCGCAAUGGGCGAAAGCCUGACGGAGCGACGCCGCGUGGACGAUGAAGGCCGAAAGGUUGUAAAGUCCUUUUGAACCUGAAGAAUAAGUUUAAGAGGGAAUGCUUAAGCGGUGACAGAAAGGUUUGAAUAAGCAACGGCUAAUUACGUGCCAGCAGCCGCGGUAACACGUAAGUUGCGAGCGUUGUUCGGAAUUAUUGGGCGUAAAGGGCAUCUAGGCGGUCAUUCAAGCUUGGUGUGAAAUACCGGGGCUUAACUCCGGGGCUGCAUUGAGAACUGGAUGACUGGAGUCACUGAAGGGCAACCAGAAUUCCAGGUGUAGGGGUGAAAUCUGUAGAUAUCUGGAAGAAUACCAAUGGCGAAGGCAGGUUACCGGCAGAUGACUGACGCUGAAGUGCGAAGGUGCGGGGAGCAAACAGGAUUAGAUACCCUAGUAGUC
rnacentral:rRNA from 1 species